rnacentral:piRNA from 1 species
UGAUGUUCAGAUACCCAAUGGACUUGGGAGG